CCCCACCCCGCGGUUGCCAUGACCAUUCCAAUGGCUCCAGCCCAUCUCCUGCCAGCUUCCUCCUCUUCGAAACCAUCCCCACCCCACUGCUGCAGUCAACAUUGUCAAAUCCACCUCCUGCCUCCAGAACUCAGUUGAUCCAAGCGCGAUCUAGCACCUUAGGUUUAUGGAAACAAACUCCUGGAUGUUCCAGAGGAAGAGGCGGUGGAGGAACAGCACUACAGCAGCAGUGCAGUGAGCAGAGUUCAAGGCCAUCUUGAAGCAGGCAGGUCCUUCCAGACAGCCAAUGAGGCUCAUCAGGAUAGAGCCCUCCUACCUUCCACCACUGCCCCAGGCUCCCCAAAGGCACGCGGCUCUAUCCCCUUCAAGCCUUUGCACAGGCUGCUCCAUGGAGCUGCACAAUCUCCUGCCACUGCACACAGACAGAGGGUGCCCAAGUGUCCCAGUUUUAACACUGAAAGUCCCACGUCCCAGGACCCUCUCAGUCCCAGGCAACCCAGGAGGGUUGGUCCUUACAGAUAACUCCAAUGCAUCCUUCAGGGCUGCCUCUUCCAGGAAGCCUUCCCUGAGCCCUCAAACCUAGAUCAGCUGUCCCUCCUCUGCGCCACCUCACUCUUGCCUGCAAUGUUACUUUGUGUUUUAGUGGCCCGCUUACCUCCCUGCCUCCCUGAUGGCAGUGACUCAAUUUUGUCAAGCUGGACUCAGUAUUAAUUAACAAGAAGAAAUGACAUGGCCCCUGCCAGCUGGCAUUCAGGCCAGUGGGUAUGUCAGACAGGUUCACCAAUGCCCAUGGGUUCAAACACUUAUUUACUAGAUGCCAGGCUUAUGCCAGGGCUGAGACCAGAUAGGAGACUGCCCCAGCCUGCCUGCAAGGUGCUUUGCCUGCAAACCAACACACCAAGCAGCAUGGGUUACUUGCUGGGCCAAGGCUAAGGCCAAGGGUUGGCAAACUUUUUCUGUAAAGGGCGAGACAAAUAUUUUGGGCUUUUCCCGCCAUAGGGUCUCUGUCCCAGAUAAAAUUCUAGCUGGGGUGGGACAGCGGCCCGAGACAUUCUGUAAAUUACCAAUGUAUUCCAAUAAAACUUAACUUAUGAA
ensembl:lncRNA novel transcript, antisense to RMI2